UACGAAGGGUCCAAGCGUUAUCCGGAUUUAUUGGGUUUAAAGGGUGCGUAGGCGGCUUAUUAAGUCAGUGGUGAAAGCCCGUAGCUUAACUACGGAACUGCCAUUGAUACUGAUGAGCUUGAAUAUACUUGAGGUUGGCGGAAUGUGUCAUGUAGCGGUGAAAUGCUUAGAUAUGACACAGAACACCGAUUGCGAAGGCAGCUAGCUAAAGUAUGAUUGACGCUGAGGCACGAAAGCGUGGGGAGCAAACAGG
rnacentral:rRNA from 1 species